rnacentral:rRNA from 1 species
AGCGAACAGGAUUAGAUACCCUGGUAGUCCACGCUGUAAACGAUGAUCACUCGUUGUUGGCUACAAGGUAGUCAGUGACUAAGGGAAACCAUUAAGUGAUCCACCUGGGGAGUACGUCGGCAACGAUGAAACUCAAAGGAAUUGACGGGGGCCCGCACAAGCGGAGGAACAUGUGGUNUAAUUCGAUGAUACGCGAGGAACCUUACCUGGGCUUAAAUGCAGNCUGCAUUCAUGUGAAAGCGUGAUUUCCUACGGGACUGCCUGCAAGGUGCUGCAUGGUUGUCGUCAGCUCGUGCCGUGAGGUGUCGGGUUAAGUCCCAUAACGAGCGCAACCCCUAUCGCUAGUUGCCAGCAUGUAAUGGUGGGGACUCUAGCGAGACUGCCGGUGUAAACCGGAGGAAGGUGGGGAUGACGUCAAAUCAGCACGGCCCUUACGUCCAGGGCUACACACGUGUUACAAUGGCCGGUACAAAGAGCAGCGACCUGGCGACAGGGUGCUAAUCUUUAAAGCCGGUCUCAGUUCGGAUCGAAGUCUGCAAUUCGACUUCGUGAAGGUGGAUUCGCUAGUAAUCGCGCAUCAGCCAU